AUGACCACACAAUUCUCAUUACUUUUUUUCAGCAAACAUUGCCAUAAACCCUUAAUCUUCUUCAUCAAUUCAUUCACCUAUUCAAUGUAUCUUUCUCAAUCCUUUCAACCUAUCAUUCAUUUCCUCCAUUUUUCUUCGGCGAUUCUACUUCUCAAUCCUUUCACGAUUCAUUUCUUGAAGCUUUUGUUUACCUUUUUUUCGUUCAACCAAUCAUCAACAACCUACAAACUUUCAAACUUAUUCUCUUUUUCCAACACAAACCCGUUUGUAUUUCUUUGUAUUUCCAACUCAUUUUUUUCCCAAAAUCUCCCAUCAAAUCUCAGAUCCUCCUUCUCCAUACCUUCUUCUUUCUCUGUUUCACUUCUCUCACAUUACCUUACAUUUUUCUGCAUCAACAUCAAUAAAUAUGUCCAUCAAUCCAAUGGCAAAGCGGCAAUCACAUUACUCUUUGUUUUGUUACAUAGAUUUCUCAUGUCUCUCAAUUUCAUGUUAUAUUUCAACCGCAUAUAUGCACACCAUGUAUUUGAUAAAAUUGUGGUCUGAAUUCUCCUUAACAUUAACAUGGCCUAAACUAUGACUAAUGUUUAUUUUGACAGGAGCAAGCUUUAUUGACUGGUAAUAUAUAUUUGUGAGGUUAGGGCAGUUAGAGGUACUCUUCCUUCCAUUUCUUGUCUUUUCAAUUUGAAUUUAAAAUUUAAAAACUACUUUAUUCAUCUUUCUACUUUUUCCUCAUAUCUCUAAUUUACUCAUCUUUUAAAAAUUAAUUUAAAAAGGUGUGUUUAUUAUACACCUAUUUUGGAACUCAUGUUGUUGUUAUAACGCCAUAAGUUACUGUUAAAAAACAAAUAACGGUUAAAACUAAGUUGUUGUUAUAACCUGUAUAUAUUAUAGUUAAAAAGCAAGUAACUGCUAAAAUUAUGUUGUUGUUCUUAUGUAUAUGAUAUGAUGCUGAUAAAAUGAAGGUAGUUGUUUAAAUCAUGUUGCCAUUACAACAUAAACAUGAUGUUGCUGUUAAAAAGCAAGUAACUUUCAAAUAUUCAUAGUAAAAGUUUAUGAAUAGUUAAUAUCUCAUGCUUAUUUAAUUUUUGUUUUUUUAGGUGCAUACAUGUUUAAAACAAUGAUAAUAUUUUCAUUAUUUAUAAAGGUUGAGGUCUUUCAUUUGAUUAAAAGUGUAAGACUUUAGCAAACACUACUUAAAUAUUAAAGGUAUUUUUCGUGCUAUUUUAUAAAAGUCACAUAUGAAGUUACUAUUCACAUAAAACAUGUCAGAUAAGGCUAAAAGCUUUGCUUUAUGAAUUUAUAGAUUGAUGGAUCCUCUGUUUCAAACAAAUGUUGCAAUAACUACGACAACCACAUAUCCUUUUCCUAUAACAUGUGUGUGGUCUCACCCUCCAUUGUAGUUAGAAAAUUAGAAGAUAUGGACAUAUAUGCUCAUUGAAAUAUGAAAUUUAACGUGGUUCUUGCAGUUUGAUUUUUCAAAUGAAACAGUCUUUUGUUGGAUUCAUCAAAAUACAUGUCCUUUGUCUUUGUCUCAGUUUGCUGGACAACUGUCCAAUAUGACUUAUUAUUUACUGAUAAGUGGCUAGGUUUCUCGAGUUGGUUUAUAUGUUCAUUGCACGACAAUUGUCGGGUUACUUAUAGUUUACUAUUAAGUGGCUAGGUUGCUCUAGCUGGUGCGUAGGCGAACCCGCCUGUUGUACACGCUAUGUUAAUUUUGUAAUCUGGACCUGAAUGUUUAUAUACAAAUUGUAUUGGAUUAAUCUCAA